CCACCAUUUUCUUUGGAGCUAAUGACGCGGCUUUGCUUGGGAGGAAUAGUGAACGGAAACAUGUUCCUAUUGAGGAAUACAAAGAGAACCUUAGAAAGAUUGUUCUGCACUUGAAGAAAUGCUCCCCCACCAUGUUAGUGGUGCUUAUAUCUCCCCCACCUAUUGACGAGCAAGGCCGCAUGGAAUAUGCACAUUUUCUGAAAAAACUUAUUCAUCGGAAAAUGUGGAUGAGGUUAGAGACAUGUCGGUCGAGUAUUUGCUCAAGCAAAAAGCGGAUCAAGAAAACAAAGUUGAUGGUAUGGAAAUAACUCCAUGAGUUUCAGUUCCAAUUGUUGGUUAAUUGGUGUGAAUGAUUAUAUUUUGGAAUUGAUUUUUGUUUUACGUUUUUGGAAAUUGCGAUGUAAAGUUUGACGCUUAUGAAAAUCACAGUUUAUGUAAAGCUUGCAUUUUGAGCAUUACUUGUUGGAAAUAAUUUUUUUGGUAAUA